rnacentral:rRNA from 1 species
GCGUGGGACUAACAUAUCAAUAAGCGGAGGAAAAGAAACUAACAAGGAUUCCCCUAGUAACUGCGAGUGAAGCGGGAAAAGCUCAAAUUUGGAAUCUGGUGGUCUUUGGCCAUCCGAGUUGUAAUUUAGAGAAGCGUCUUCCGCGCUGGACCGUGCACAAGUCUCCUGGAAUGGAGCGUCAUAGAGGGUGAGAAUCCCGUCUUUGGCAUGGAAUCCCAGGGCUUCUGUGAUGCGCUCUCGACGAGUCGAGUUGUUUGGGAAUGCAGCUCAAAAUGGGUGGUGAACUCCAUCUAAAGCUAAAUAUUGGCGAGAGACCGAUAGCGAACAAGUACCGUGAGGGAAAGAUGAAAAGCACUUUGGAAAGAGAGUGAAACAGUACGUGAAAUUGUUGAAAGGGAAACGCUUGAAGUCAGUCGCGUCGACCGAGACUCAGCCUUGCCUCGGCUUGGUGUACUUCUCGGCUUGACGGGUCAGCAUCGAUUUCAAUCCUCGGAUAAUGGCAAGGGAAAGGUAGCACCUUUUUAGGUGUGUUAUAGUCCUCUGUCGCAUGCGAGGGUCGGGAUCGAGGAACUCAGCACGCACCUCAGGGUGUCGGGGCCUUGGCCCACGUUUACGUGCUUAGGAUGCUGGCGUAAUGGCUUUAAACGACCCGUCUUGAAACACGGACCAAGGAGUCUAACAUACCCGCGAGUGUUCGGGUGGAAAACCCGUGCGCGUAAUGAAAGUAAAAGUUGGGACCUCUGUCGUGGAGGGCACCGACGCCCGGACCAGACCUUCUGUGACGGCUCUGCGGUAGAGCGUGUAUGUUGGGACCCGAAAGAUGGUGAACUAUGCCUGAAUAGGGUGAAGCCAGAGGAAACUCUGGUGGAGGCUCGUAGCGAUUCUGACGUGCAAAUCGAUCGUCAAAUUUGGGUAUAGGGGCGAAAGACUAAUCGAACCAUCUAGUAGCUGGUUCCUGCCGAUUCUCCUUC